UCAAUCACUGAUAUCAAACCAAUUAUGCUGCCAGGAACCAUUGUGGCUCCAGCAGUUAACCUGGAUUGAGUUGUAUUAGACAGUAGGCUGCCCAAGUGGUCCAGGCUUUAUGGAUGGACUAAGACAAGUAAAAGUAAUCCUCCAGUAUCAUAGUAGGCACGGCUGGACUGAUGAGCUUGGUGGUGUGUUAACUGAUGUGAUUAGUCCAGCAUCCACGCAGGCAGAAGGACAGUGAGCUGGAGCUGUUUUAGUGUCUCCAGGCCCUUGGCCCCAGCUACUGAACACCCCAUCGAUUUGCUUAACACAGACAAAGCAGCUACAACAGCCCCGACCUCCGCGCUUCCCAUCAGGCCUGGUUCACGUCCCUGGGAGUGUCAGCGAUAGUGGCAUGGGUAUCCACGCCAUGAUGAGACAACCUUUUCCCAGCGUUCUUUACUGACACAUGCUCCCCUGAGACAGUCAGCCGUGUACUUCACAUGACACUUACUCAAGGUGAAGCAUUAGCGAGUCCUGAAGAUGGCCGUUGAUGAACAGUGUGCCUCGGUAAUGACGUGUGGUGCAGACGAGCUCCAAAGGUCGCUAAUUGCGAAGUGCUGCAGGUAUUUCCAGCUGAUGAGUUUCCCUGAGUGAGUGGGAAGUGGGAAAUCACCAGCUAGAGGCCCGCUGCGUCUCAUUCAGCUGACCGCCAGAGACCCCCAGGGGAAACCUGUGCACUGAUCACACCUCACAUUAGGCUCAUUGUGAUUUCAUGAGCUGUCUAAUCUUGGGCUUUUUUGUAAUCUUUGGGCUUUUUUGUAAUCAGUGCACUAUCCCAGCAUUCUCAAUUCAGAUCGACUCUGUCCUUCCUGUGUCUUUCACCCUCUCAUUCUUUCUCUUCCCUGCUGCGCACACAUUCUCUCAGCACACCCCCACCCCCCUUCAAUCUGUCACCCACAUUUAGUCAUCACACUUUCUCUGUUCACAUAGUCACUCUUUACUUGCUUCUUAUAUACACUCUUCUCCCUCCUUCUCUCUCUCUCUCUCUCUCUCUCUCUCUAUCUCAUUCUUACAUCCCCUUGGUCUCUGACAGACCUUUCAGCAGCAGGAGUUCCCCUUUGCUCUGCUCUGCUCUGCUCUAGGCACGAGCUCCUCCAUUACUUGUCUCCUAUUCUUUCCAAACGAGAGCUGGGAGCAAAUUGAAAUGCCCUUGAUGUGAAACCCGAGGUGUCCAGGGGCCAAUUCGCCAGGCUUCCGGAGGUGGGCCCCCUUGCCCCCGCCUUGAGCUGCCAGUCUGCGGCGGCACUGCCAGGUCCCUCCUGAACAGCUGCAGGUUCAACACAAAGACAAACAGCAGCUCAUUAGCUCCCCAUUAAUUGCUUGAUCCCAUGGUGAGAGGGCUAAUUCAGCCUGACAGUCACUCCGACAGUAAUGGAUACGUGUUGAAACAAAGGUGUCUCGAGCUUUCUCUAGCACUGAAGGACAUGUUCAUUUAAGUGACAUUUUCUGAAGAACUUUUUGAAGACUAAAAAGGCACACACACACACGCAUAGAUAUAGAAGCAAAGAUCCUAGCUUUGAUGAAACAAACAAAACUGAAAGAUGUGACUGUACAUCUUAACAUAAGCAGCACAUUAA